rnacentral:rRNA from 1 species
GUAAACCCAAGGUUUCCAGGGGAAGGUUCGUCCGCCCUGGGUUAGUCGGGAACUAAGCUGAGGCCGAAAGGCGUAGGUGAUGGACAACGGGUUGAUAUUCCUGUACUACCGAUAACCGGUUGAGAGAAGGGAUGAGACAGUAGGAUAAGCUAAGCACACUGUUGGUUAUGUGUGCACAAGCAUUGAGGCAGUCAAAGUAGGCAAAUCCGCUUUGAUAAUGCUGGGAUGUGAUGGGGAGCGAAAUUU